UACGGGGGGAGCAAGCGUUGUUCGGAUUUACUGGGCGUAAAGGGCGCGUAGGCGGCGUGACAAGUCACUUGUGAAAUCUCCGGGCUUAACCCGGAGCGGCCAAGUGAUACUGUCGUGCUAGAGUGCGGAAGGGGCUACUGGAAUUCUCGGUGUAGCGGUGAAAUGCGUAGAUAUCAAGAGGAACACCUGAGGUGAAGACGGGUUGCUGGGCUGACACUGACGCUGAGGCGCGAAAGCUAGGGGAGCGAACAGG
rnacentral:rRNA from 1 species